UGGGUGUGGGCUUAAGACCUUCACCCUAGCUGCCUGGAAGUCAGUAUUUUGCUAGCAGCCUUAGAUGAAGGUGUAGAACUCUCAUCUUCUCCUGUACCGUGUCUGCCUGGAUGCUGCCAUGUUCCCACCUUGAUGGUAAUGGACUGAACCUCUUAGGAACCUGUAAGCCAGCCUCAAUUAAAUGUUGUCCUUUAUAAGACUUGCCUUGGUCAUGGUGUCUGUUCACAGCAAUAGAACAUUGACUAAGACAGAAGUUAGUACCAGGAACUGGGGAAUUGCUGUGAUAGGCCUGACCAUACUUUUGUUUGGAAGAAUGUGGAUUUGGGGACUUUGGAUUUGGAAAGCGGUGGGAUGCUUUAAAUGGGGUUUAAUGGGCUAUUGGAAUAGGAAUAUGGAAGACUUUGUUACUGAUAGUGACUUGAAUUGUGCGGACCUGGCCCAAGAGCCUAUGAGAGGCUAUUGGAGAAGCCUAGUUGCAGCGGAAGACCCCAGUGUAUUGUAGAUGCCAGUACCAUGGGAUGAUCACCAAGAACAGCAGCAGCAGUGGGGUGGAUCAACCUGAGUUUAGAGUACUUCAGAGGGUAGAGCUGGAAAAGUGACGCCCUUUGGAGGAGCCCAGAAGGUUGAACCGAAGCUGUAACAUUGGCGUUGCCUUGGAGACCCCCUUGUGUACAACAAAGCUUAAGAAGUAUU
rnacentral:lncRNA from 1 species